UCCGUCCGUCAGCUGAGAGACAGACAGAGGGAGAUGGAGGGGACGAACGGAGAGAAGGAGAGACAGCUGCCUCCUGCUGGAGGAGAGAAGGGAAUGAGGAGAGGUAAUCUGGAGGAGCUGAGGAGGACUAUGAAGGAGGUGACGUUCUUCAAAGAGGAGGUGACAAGGGAACAAAGGGAGAAGGAGAAGAUGCAGGAGGAGCUGAGAAGGAGGAGAGAUGAUGUGACAGGCCUCAGAGAGGAGGUGAAAAGGGAACAAAGGGAGAGAGAGGAGGUACAGGAGGAGCUGAGAAGGACUAAGAAGGAGGUGAUGGCCCUCAGAGAGGAGGUGAAAAGGGAACAAAAGGAAAUGGAGGAGGUACUAGAGGAGCUGAGGAGAACUAAGAGCGAGGGGGAGGUGUCUGCACUGAGAGAGGAGGUACAGAAGGAACAAAGGAAGAAGACAGAGGCACAGGAGGAGCUGAUAAAGAGGAGAGAGGAUGUGACAUCUCUCAGAGUGGAGGUGCAGAAGGAGCAGAGGAGGAGGCAGGUGAUGCAGGAGGAGCUGAAUAGGACCAAGAGCGAGUUGACAGUCUUAACAGAGGAAGUGGAGAAGGAGCAGAAGGAGAUGGAGCAGGAACAAGAGACGUUAAUGAAGACAGAGGAGGUGGAAGCUCUCAGAGAGGAGGUGCAGAAGGAGCAGAGGAGGAGGCAGGACAUCCAGGAGGAGCUGAGAGGAGUGCAGCAGAUCGUGGAGGUGAUGGUGGAUGAACCUGAGCUCCCUGCAGACUCAGGUGUCAGAUGUGAGUCGGAGCAGGGAGCGAGCUCUGGAGGAGAAGCAGGAGGAGGUGCAGCAGCUCAGGGAGGAGAGGGGAGAGGUGGAGGAGCUGAGAGCCAGAGCCAAGGCCCUGGAGAGGAGGAGGACAGAGAUGAUGGAGGAGCUGCAGAAGGCCCGACGGGAGAAGGAGGAUGCUGA
rnacentral:lncRNA from 1 species